UUAGAGUUUGAUUCUGGCUCAGGAUGAACGCUAGCGACAGGCCUAACACAUGCAAGUCGAGGGGCAGCACCUCGGGUGGCGAGCGGCGCACGGGUGAGUAACGCGUAUGUAACCUGCCCUCAAGUGGGGAAUAGCCCAGUGAAAACUGGAUUAAUACCGCAUAACACCGAAUGAUGACAUCUGAAUUCGGUUAAAGAUUUAUUGCUUGAGGAUGGACAUGCGUCUGAUUAGCUAGUUGGCGGGGCAACGGCCCACCAAGGCGACGAUCAGUAGGGGUUCUGAGAGGAAGGUCCCCCACAUUGGAACUGAGACACGGUCCAAACUCCUACGGGAGGCAGCAGUGAGGAAUAUUGGUCAAUGGGCGAGAGCCUGAACCAGCCAAGUCGCGUGAAGGAUGAAGGUUCUAUGGAUUGUAAACUUCUUUUGUCUGAGGGUAAAGUGAGGUACGUGUACCUUAUUGCAAGUAUCAGACGAAUAAGCAUCGGCUAACUCCGUGCCAGCAGCCGCGGUAAUACGGAGGAUGCGAGCGUUAUCCGGAUUUAUUGGGUUUAAAGGGUGCGUAGGCGGAAGAUUAAGUCUGUGGUGAAAGCGUGCGGCUCAACCGUACCAAGCCAUGGAAACUGGUUUUCUUGAGUGUAAACGAGGUAGGCGGAAUAAUGACGUGUAGCGGUGAAAUGCUUAGAUAGGUCAUAGAACCCCGGAUUGCGAAGGCAGCUUACCAGCAUACAACUGACGCGGAGGCACGAAAGCGUGGGGUAUCAAACAGGAUUAGAUACCCUGGUAGUCCACGCAGUAAACGAUGAAUACUAGCUGUUGGCGAUAUACAGUCAGCGGUAAAGCGAAAGUGUUAAGUAUUCCACCUGGGGAGUACGCCGGCAACGGUGAAACUCAAAGGAAUUGACGGGGGCCCGCACAAGCGGAGGAACAUGUGGUUUAAUUCGAUGAUACGCGAGGAACCUUACCCGGGCUUGAAAGUUAGUGACGGCAGCUGAAAGGCUGCUUCCCCUCGGGGCACGAAACUAGGUGCUGCAUGGUUGUCGUCAGCUCGUGCCGUGAGGUGUCGGCUUAAGUGCCUUAACGAGCGCAACCCCUGUUGUUAGUUGCCAUCAGGUAAUGCUGGGAACUCUAACAAGACUGCUACUGUAAGGUAGAGGAGGGUGGGGAUGACGUCAAACCAGCACGGCCCUUACGUCCGGGGCGACACACGUGUUACAAUGGGGGGUACAGAGGGUUGCUACCACGCGAGUGGAUGCUAAUCUCAUAAAACCUCUCUCAGUUCGGAUCGGAGUCUGCAACUCGACUCCGUGAAGCUGGAUUCGCUAGUAAUCGCGCAUCAGCCAUGGCGCGGUGAAUACGUUCCCGGGCCUUGUACUCACCGCCCGUCA
rnacentral:rRNA from 1 species